UAUAAUAUAAAAAGCCAACAAUGAAGAAUUAAUGUAAGAUAAAAAGCCAACAAUGAAGAGUAAAUGUAAUAUAAAAAGCCAACAAUGAAGAAUGAAUGUAAGAUAAAAAGCCAACAAUGAAGAGUGAAUGUAAUAUAAAAAGCCAACAAUGAAGAAUGAAUGUAAGAUAAAAAGCCAACAAUGAAGAGUGAAUGUAAGAUAAAAAGCCAACAAUGAAUAGUAAAUGUAAUAUAAAAAGCCAACAAUGAAGAAUGAAUGUAAGAUAAAAAGCCAACAAUGAAGAGUGAAUAAAUCUAUAUUAAUAAAAUGCAAAUUUCAUAAGUGUUCACUAAAAACUUUCGUUACAAUGCAUUAAUUUCAACCAAAUUUUCAACAUUUAUGUAAAACGAGAUGGAGCAGGUUUUGCUUAACAUCAAAAUAUAUUUCCUAACAUUAACAUGCGUAACUUCGGUGUUAUCGAUUAAAUACAAAAAAAAUCAACAGAGUUAAUUUUAUUUAUAUAUAAAUACAAAAAAAAAUUCAACAGAGUUAAUUUUUUUACAUACACACACACUAGCUAAUAAUCUCAAACUAAAAAUAUUAUAUAAAUAUAUUACUUAACGAAUAUAAUUAUCAUUAUUAUCAUAAUAUUCUGUGUGUUCCAGAAUAUUAUUAUCAAUAAUAUUCGUUAGGCAAACUUUCACUCGGAUAAAACCCGGGCGAAGCCGGGUACACAUCCGCUAGUAUUUAAUAAAUUACUAGCUUUCAAGCGAUACUCGCUCUUCAACGGGCUUAAUAAAAAACAUCGACUAUUUCUUAUAAGAAAAACUAACAAUAUUUGUACGUAUUUCUAAAUAUUUCUUGUAAGAUAUAGUCAAUGUUUUUUAUUAAGCCCGUUGAAGAGUGAUUUUCGCUUGAAAACUUGCAAUUUAUUAAAUAAAAAGAAAUUCAUUAUGAGGAAAUAUUUAGUAUUUUUAAAUAUAUAUUAUGUAAAGUAGCAUAGGUUAAUGGGUUUAUAGCAUUUUUUAAAUGACUUUCUGACUUGAAGAAAUAAGUAGCUGCUAUUUUCAGUUGGAAUCCUUUCACUGUGAAAAAACCUCUUGAAUAUUGUUAAAAUAAAUUUCAUAUUAAAACAACUUCUUGUGCUUAUAGCUAUGAGGUUAUAUUAUUAAAUUAUAAAUUAAGGCAAAUCUCUUUGAGUAGAAGGCUAUCUCUUUGAUGGGCCAAACUUUAUAUUUUCAUGAAAUCAAAUGUUGAAGAACAAGGUGUUAAAAGUGUAGACAGCAAAGUAAAGUUGUUUGAACGGGUCGUUUGUGGAUAAAAACUGAACAUACACUAGGUAUUUUCAGUUCUUGGCUGUAAAAUGGUUGAGAUAUGAUAGAGAUAAAUCGUUGAUAAGUGUUGAGGUUAUUUUACUAAACCAUAAAGUGGGCAUGCUUUCGAUCAAACGACUCUUUAAUAGCCCUAAUUUAUAUAUAUUCAUAUAAACAAAUGUGUCAUCUAUACAUAAGAAAAUGAAGCAUUUAAGCAUGAAGGUUUCUUUUUAAAUAUAAAACAAACUUCUAAUGUCCUUACUGCGAUUAUGAAAAACUUAGUUUGUUUUAUAUUUUAAAGGAAAUCUUCGUGCUUAAAUGCUUCAAUUUCUUAAGUAUUGAUGGAACAUUUGUACAUAUAUAAAUUAGGCCUAUUAAAGAGUCAUUUGAUCAAAAGCUUGACCAAUUUAUGGCUUAGUAAAAUAACUCAACACUUAUCAACGAUUUAUCUCUACCAUAUAUCUAUCAUUCUACAGCCAAGAACUGAAAAUACCUAGUGAAUGGGCAGUUUUACUUUUCUGUCUGCACUUUUAAUAUCCACAAACGACCCGUUCAAACAACUUUGCUGUCUGUAGGCAUUUUUAACACCUUGUUCUUCAACAGUCGACUAUUGUUGAUUGUCACAACCAUUUUCUUUUUUUACUAUGAUCUCUGUUGGAAGGCUUUUGUAUAAAUAAUUCGGUUUUCAAAUAAUUUAGUUUCGGAUUGCCUUUAUAACGUGACCAUUAUAUAAUUGCCCUAACACAAUUAUCAAUGACUUUCUUGCGGAGCAUCAAUACACGAACCAUCUAUUUAUAUAAAUUUCAGAAAUGGGAAAAUAUAAUUCGGGUAAAAAGUUUAUUUCAUUUUAGUUUUUUCAAGCUUUUGAGCAGAUUCUUUUGCUAUUCAAUGGGCUAAUACUCUAUGUACAAUCUCUAAAUAUUCUUUAUACAAAAUAAUUGAAAAUAAAUUGUUACAGCAUGUGUCCUUGCGGGCGUGCAUCAGCCUGUUUACAGCAAAAAUAAUUGAUAUUAUAAUAGGAUAAAAUAUACACAUACAAUUAUAUAGAUAAUUUUCAGGGAAAUUGUUAUAUUGGGUUGGUAGGUCUAUUUUUCUAUUGAUGCUAUUUAUUUUUGAUGAUACCAGUGCUUCCAGGAAUAAUCGUUGUUGCUUGCUGCCAAAGAUCUAUACGGCCAUAUUCAUCUUAAAUACUACCUCACCAUGAAUUUCUCUGAAAUACUGCAACAUAUUGUUGUAUCAGGUUGAGGUUCACUAAUUCCUCAGCUUUAUUUUCUCCUUAUGUAUUCCCUGAACUUUCCAGAGCAUGUUUCAACCAUCAUAUAAGGUUAUAGGUCAGACGUCAGCAAACCUUUGAGUCGAAAGAGUCAAAAAUUACAAUUUACAAAAUUUCAAAGUUUUCAAAGAGCCACAAUUUUUUUCCUUGCCAACAAUAAAUAGUACUCGCGUAAAUAAUAUUUACGUAUGGAACUAUAUAAAGAGCCACAGCUUCACAAAGAACCGCAUGUGGCCCGCGAGCCGCAUUUGCCGAACUGUGUUAUAGGUGGAUAAUAAAAGGCAACUAUUAGGUAACACCAUGAGAAUAACUCAUUUUUCUCAUUCCUUAUUUAAAAAAAUGGGUAGUCACACAGUGUUGCAUUAUAUACCGAUCUAGUUUAUAAUACACUCAUGGACAAAACUUAAGGAAGCUGUACCUUUCAUCAUGUAUAUUGGGAUAUUCAGACAAUAACUCUGAAAUAUAUUUGCUACACAGUGAUCUUUAUUGAAGACACACGAGAUAACCAAGUGUGAACAAAAUUGCCUGUCUCCUUCAAAAAACAGAUGAUUCGCGACACCAAAAUAUGAAAUUUCCUUAAGUUUUGUCCAUGAAUGUACAUAAUCUGUUUAUACGGAGGGUGUUUCCUUUCAAAUGAAACGAUUUCAAACGUCCGUUAGAACUUUAUUUUUCGAACGUGAAUUUUUUUCAUGUGUUCUAUGUGCUUCCCCUUCUUCUUGGCUAUCUCCCUGCAUCGGACUUUCCAAGCUGCGAACACUUCCUUGACUUUGGAGAGCGAAACAUUCGACCACUCCUCUUGUGCGGCUUUCCAAAGAAGGAAACAGUUAUAGCGUCAUAGUGAAAAAGCUAAAAGCAGAAGGACUAGAUGUUGGCAAAGCUACAAUAUGUAGGGUAGUAAAUGGCAUCGGAAAGAAAAGGGAAGCUGAAUCCAAUGGGCAAAAAUUUCAAGUCGAUCGACCACGUCCGGUGCGGACCCCCGCCACGGUUUCCAAGGUAAAGCGGCUAGCAACUACUGAAAAUCCACCAUCUCAGCGCCAACUUUCCAGAAUGUGUGGAACAUCGCUAAAAACGAUAAAUAACAUCAUUCACAAAGAUUUGGAACUGGAUACCCGACGAAAAGGCAAGGUUCACAAGCUCACCCCUUUCCACAUGAAAAACCGUGCAACGAAUGCCCGGAAGCUCUACGAGGAACACCUGGCCGGUUCCAGAUCGGAAUAUACUGCAACAUUGGACGAAGCAUGGAUGUAUGUGACGUAUUGCAAUGGAAUCCGGAAGAUCUGUUACAUCAAAAGAGGCAAUCAGGUCCCGGAUAAUUGGGUUCACCAAUGCUCCGAAACUUUUCCUAAAGGUUUCAUGGUUGUCGGGGUAAUGACUGGCCGUGGAGUCCUUCCGCUCAUAAAGGUUCCAUCGAAGGUGAAGGUGAACUCAGAAUUCUAUAUAGAAUGCGUUCUGAAACCUGUCAUCGAACAACUGAAGGACCUUUACCCAGGGGAAAUGGACAAAGUGUUUCUUCAUCACGACAAAGCCUCUUCCCAUACCUCCAACAAAACCCAACAGUUCCUACAAGAAAUGAAGGACACCCUAGGCCUAAAUUUUAUCAGGAACUCGGACAUUCCAGUGAAGUCUCCCGACGCCAGCCCACUGGAUUUUUACGGGUUCGGUAUGUUGAAACAACGGCUCUUCAACCGACGUCCCAAAACUGAGGCCGGACUUUGGAAAGCCGCACAAGAGGAGUGGUCGAAUGUUUCGCUCUCCAAAGUCAAGGAAGUGUUCGCAGCUUGGAAAGUCCGAUGCAGGGAGAUAGCCAAGAAGAAGGGGAAGCACAUAGAACACAUGAAAAAAAUUCACGUUCGAAAAAUAAAGUUCUAACGGACGUUUGAAAUCGUUUCAUUUGAAAGGAAACACCCUCUGUAUAUAUGAAAUUGAUAUCGUGAUAUUUUCAAAUAUAUGAUAAAUAUAUAUAAUAUAUUAACAUAUAUAUCAACCAUAGGAUUGAACAAUAUAGAAAGAAUAUUAAUACAAUAUUAGAGUGGUAUAGUAGAUUAAAAAUUCCAAAUCUUUGACCGAGGCUACCAUGAUUAACAAAGCCCUUUCAAUAUUUUUUCUCAUUGUAACAGAGGCAGCAGGAAAUUGUUUUUAAUUUAUGAAAAGUUUGCGUUGAUAAAUGUCUAAUAGUGUUUUAUUUCAAUCAAUAAAUCGACGCUGAAAUCGGUCUUUGUUAAUAAAUUAUUGCUUAGCAUAUAAUAUUGCAAGAAAGUAGAUAAUAUGAUAAUAGAUUAGAGAAAUAACAUUAUGUUAUUUUGAUUAAAAUAUAAUAAUAUAUAAUAUAUUGAUUAUUCAACUAACUAUAUCAAUGUGAGAGAGAAUAACGUCAGUAUCUUUUUACAGAAGUAUUAAAAUGUUUUGAUCAUCUUGGCUGCAAUUAUUUUCAAGUAUUAACACCAGUUCUUGGAGGUUUGUUCACAUCUAGCUUACUCAAAACCUUUCUAGGGUUUUUGUUUGAUUUGAUUAAUUCUAAAAUGGGAUGUGGUUAGGCAGAGUUUAUGAGACAUUUAAUACAGAAUGGUUAAGACUUCUUAAUAUUCUCGAAAGUCAAUGGUUUUACGUGAUCUGUUUUAAACAUUUUUUCUGAGAGAUGAAAUGAACAAAGGUAUAUUUAGAAUUUUAUUUAAGUUGUGAAACACUAUUCUCAUCAUAUUUUAAGUUCCUUCGUUAUUGAGCUCAAGGGAAGCAUGACUACAUACCUUGUCUUGAUAAGUCAACACUUUAGAUAUUUAUUAUUCAAAACCUUUCAUAUAUAAAUAUCAUCCACAUUGAAUAUAGGCAAAAAAUAUUUUUUUAUAACUUAAUUAUAUUGGGCUUAUGUGGCGCUGAGUAUUUUAUUGACAAAAAUAUGUUGUAAUACCUUGAAAAAGGUUGGCGUUCACCAACUGAAAUAUUGGCAAAUAAAUUAUAUUUUGAUCCAAAAUAUGCCUUUUUAAUUAAAGAUAUACAAAUAUGUACAUCAGUUGGUCAAUGAUCAAAAUGAAUAUAAAUUAUAAUGCACAUCAUAAACCUUACAAUUAAUCUGGUGGUUAUUUAAAAUGCAGCCUGCACCACGCUAAAAAAGCUAAAAUUUUCAAAAAAUCAAAUAUUAUUGCUUUUUAUUGAUUAAUAUUGAAAAUGUCUGUUUGUUUGAGUACUGUAUUUUUAUUUGUAAAUAAAACACUACUUUUAGUUUAUUUAAUUACUUAAAUAAAUGGUGUUAGGUAUCAUGUAAAUGACCGUUGAGUUUAUCAGAAGAUAGCUUCGUCUUCAAGAAAAAACAAACAUUUUAGCUAAUGAAAUUCUUCAUGGAUAAUUUAUUGAUCAUUUUAAAAAUUGAGAGCCACCUAGAGUUGUGGAGAGUCUUGUUACCACCAGUCAAUCCAUUAUAAAAGUUGCAGAAAGAGAUUUGUGUCCAAGUUGGUUUCCAGAGAGCGCUGUCCUAGAAAGCAUAGACCUUAUUACGAGUCUUUAAUCCCGGAUUAAGUUUUCCAUUUAGAAAGUUGAAAAGUUUUGUUCUUCCUGCAACUUCUAACGGAAAUACCCAAUUAAAUCCCAUGAAAUAUCAAGAGAUCUUUGUCAUUUCUGAUGCAGGACUUCUUUACUGGGUUUCUAAUUACCUGGUGGCUUAGAAUCAUCAAAUCUUUCUUUCUUCUUAAAAAAAAAGAAAGAAAAAUCUAUUUAAAUAUUAUAUCAGAUAACCUGUGCCCUGUCCACCAACACUAUCCGUAAUUAGCUUACUGCGUUAAGAGUAAUUGAAAAGAUAAUACUCUUCCUAUAAUUAACAUUAUAAUACCAGAUAAUUAUUUGUUUAAAAGAUUUCUUUUAUCAUUACACCCUCAAAGAUUAUUAAAAUUGUCAUAAUAAAAAUAUCGAAAUAUCAAAAAUAUCAAAAAAUAUUAAACUUCUUCAAGUUUUGUCCAUAAGUGUACAAUGUGUGUGCACCUUGUCUCCUUUGAUUCAUAGCUGAAUGUAUUUUGAAAUUCAUUCCGAAAAUUGAAAUAAAAAUUACGAUGUUACAUUUGCCAUAUGAUCAUUAUUAGCUUUUGAUGCAAAUGUAAGGUCCUUGAAGGAUAGUGAUGUAGGAACUUGUAUAAAGCUAAAAUAUGUUUAAAUGAUUGACCAUGCUGAUUAACCAAUCGCAUUGAAUUUCAAGAAAAUACCAUUUACUGAUCAUACAACUUAAAGUUGUUGAUGACUUGCCUUAUCUGUCAAAAAAUGAAUUAAUCAUUACAUUUUAAUUGAUUCCUUCUCGAAGGAAGAAUCUUACACGAUUAGAAAAUGUUUUUUUUUUUUUCUUAAUUUUCUCUAACAUGUGAUCCCAGUCUUUUGUUUAUAUAAAAGACAUAUAAUUCUAUAAAAUAGGCUUAAACAUUUUUUUAAAACAAAAUAUCAAAGCCUUAACUAUAUAUAUGCACUUAUGGACAAAACUAAAGGAAGUAAAAAGUCUUUGCUGUCGACUGUCGUCUUUUUUUUUUUUUUUUUAAGGAAACAUAGGCAACUUUUUCACACUUGGUUAUCUCGUUUAUUCAAUAAAGGUCAUUGUGUAUCAAAUAUCUUCCAGAGGAAUUGUCUGAAUCCCGAUAUACAUCUUAAAAGGUAAAACUUUCUUAAGUUUUGUCCAUGAGUAU